rnacentral:rRNA from 1 species
GAAAGGUAUGCUAAUACGGGAUAAUAUAUUUGAGAGGCAUCUCUGGAAUAUCAAAGGUGAGCCAGUACAGGAUGGACCCGCGUCUGAUUAGCUAGUUGGUAAGGUAACGGCUUACCAAGGCGACGAUCAGUAGCCGACCUGAGAGGGUGAUCGGCCACAUUGGAACUGAGACACGGUCCAAACUCCUACGGGAGGCAGCAGUGGGGAAUAUUGCACAAUGGGCGAAAGCCUGAUGCAGCAACGCCGCGUGAGUGAUGAAGGCCUUCGGGUCGUAAAACUCUGUCCUCAAGGAAGAUAAUGACGGUACUUGAGGAGGAAGCCCCGGCUAACUACGUGCCAGCAGCCGCGGUAAUACGUAGGGGGCUAGCGUUAUCCGGAUUUACUGGGCGUAAAGGGUGCGUAGGCGGUCUUUCAAGUCAGGAGUGAAAGGCUACGGCUCAACCGUAGUAAGCUCUUGAAACUGGGAGACUUGAGUGCAGGAGAGGAGAGUGGAAUUCCUAGUGUAGCGGUGAAAUGCGUAGAUAUUAGGAGGAACACCAGUUGCGAAGGCGGCUCUCUGGACUGUAACUGACGCUGAGGCACGAAAGCGUGGGGAGCAAACAGGAUUAGAUACCCUGGUAGUCC